rnacentral:misc_RNA from 1 species
AUAUCAUCUUCCUAUUCUGCAUUAAUAUCAUCCAGAAACAACAAGAGAAAAAGGAAAAUAAAAUUGUAUGCUAUCAGUACUGUGAAAUAAGACGAGUGAAAGGGGAAAAAAAAUUGGGAGAGAUACUGAUGCAUAUUAAAAAAUCUAUUAGAAAUAUUGUCAAAAAGAGUACAAAUUAUUAACUAAUCUAUGAAGAAAUUAUAUUUAGAUCUAUUUCAAGAAAAUAUCAAUAGAAUACCAUCAUUUUCUUUUGUAAACUUUCAGAAGAACUGUGACACUGAAUUACUUCUCACAUUCCAACAGAUGUAAAAAGCGUCUGGUAUGAAUAUUUCCAUGAACUCUAAGAGCAGACCUCUUGUUAGGUUGGCUUCCUACUUAGAGGUAGACAUGGUCUGGUUUGGAACCGUAACUAAACCAUACCGGUUCAAUCUGGACCGAAACUAGUCAAAUGUAGAUUAACUGAAUCCGAAUUUGAACUAGACUAUUGGUUGGUACAGUUUCAAGUUAAAACUGAAAUUUCCCCUUUCAGAGAGAAAAUUUUUUAAAAAAUAAUAAUAAUAA